UACGUAGGGGGCAAGCGUUGGUCCGGAUUUAUUGGGCGUUAAAGAGCGUGUAGGCGGCCACACAGGUCAGCUGUGAAAACUCGAGGCUCAACCUCGAGACGUCGGUUGAAACCGUAUGGCUAGAGUCCGGAAGAGGAGAGUGGAAUUCCUGGUGUAGCGGUGGAAUGCGCAGAUAUCAGGAGGAACACCGAUGGCGAAGGCAGGUCUCUGGGCCACUACUGACGCUGAGAAGCGAAAGCAUGGGGGAGCGAACAGG
rnacentral:rRNA from 1 species